rnacentral:rRNA from 1 species
UGGGGAAUAUUGCACAAUGGGCGGAAGCCUGAUGCAGCGACGCCGCGUGGGGGAUGAAGGCCUUCGGGUUGUAAACUCCUUUCGGCAGGGACGAAGCUUUUGUGACGGUACCUGUAUAAGAAGCACCGGCUAACUACGUGCCAGCAGCCGCGGUAAUACGUAGGGUGCGAGCGUUGUCCGGAAUUACUGGGGGUAAAGAGCUCGUAGGUGGUUUGUCGCGUCGUCUGUGAAAUUCCGGGGCUUAACUCCGGGCGUGCAGGCGAUACGGGCUGACUUGAGUGCUGUAGGGGAGACUGGAAUUCCUGGUGUAGCGGUGAAAUGCGGAGAUAUCAGGAGGAACACCGAUGGCGAAGGAAGGUCUCUGGGCAGUAACUGCCGCUGAGGAGCGAAGGCAUGGGUAGCGAAAAGG